rnacentral:rRNA from 1 species
UCGUGGGUUGACCUGUCUGCUUGAUUGCGAUAACGAACGAGACCUCCGCCUACUAAAUACAACAGUUAUAUUUCAUAGCUGCUUGUUCUUAGAGGGACUAUCCGUGCAAGCGGAAGGAAGCUGGAGGCAAUAACA